rnacentral:tRNA from 1 species
UCGGCGCGUUGAGCACGCCGUUCCCGGUGCUGUGGGCGCUGGUGUCCGCGCAGAUCGGCGUCGCCGCGAUGUUCAACUCGGCGAUGCUGGU